rnacentral:lncRNA from 1 species
CAUUUAUUUAGGAGCGGAGACAGCUUAGCUUUGUCUUCUCCUAAAUAUUAUGAAGGAGGAAAAAAUGGGCAUGCUCCCCUUUUAGCUCAAGGGUGAUUGAGGGGAGAAGUCCUGUGCAUUGUAUAAUGGAGAGGAAGAGAUGGAGGUGGAAGGGUGUCUGUCUGUGGAUGGAUACAUGCACCCUCCCUGCCAGAACCCUGGGCUUUGAAUUGCUAGGUCACAGUCAUCUUCUGUAACAUGAUGCCAAGCCACUGUAUGUAAGGAAAAGAAUUCUCCUUUUAUUAAGUUUCUAAAUGACCUCAUAUAAAAUGUCCAGAAUAUAGCCCCAGAUGACUUUAUAAGGAAACAAAGCUGACCUGAACAAAAGAAACAAAUCUUGGAUGGUUAUGAACCUUCCUGAAUUCCAUGUGCUCAUCCUUUCCAUUGGCUCUCCAUUUCCUCUAAGAUAGAAUAUACAUUCCUUAGCUUAGCUUGGCAUCUAAGCCCUUCCACAGUUUUACUCCCACUUUUCCUUCCUUCCUUCCUUCCUUCCUUCCUUCCUUCCUUCCUUCCUUCCUUCCUUCCUUCCUUCCUUCCUUCCUUCCUUCCUUCCUUCCUUCCUUCCUUCCUUCCUCUUCCUUCCUUCCUCUUCCUUUCUUUUCUUUCUUUCUUUCUUUCUUUCUUUCUUUCUUUCUUUCUUUCUUUCUUUCUUUCUUUCUUUCUUUCUUUCUUUCUUUCUUUCUUUCUUUCUUUCUUUCUUUCUUUCUUUCUUUCUUUCUUUCUUUCUUUCUUUCUUUCUUUCUUUCUUUCUUUCUUUCUUUCUUUCCUUCUUUCUUUCUUUCUUUCUUUCUUUCUUUCUUUCUUUCUUUCUUUCUUUCUUUCUUUCUUUCUUUCUUUCUUUCUUUCUUUCUUUCUUUCUUAUUUAAUUAGUCAAUUUAGAAUAUUUUCCCUUGGUUACAAGAUUCAUGUUCUUUCCCUCCCCUCCUUCCACCCCUUCCCAUAGCUGACAUGCAAUUCCACUGGGUUUUACAUGUGUCAUUGAUCAAAACCCAUUUCCAUAUUGUUGAUGUUUGCACUAGGGUGAUCAUUUAGAAUCUAUAUCCCCAAUCAUAUCCCCCUCGACCCAUAUGAUCAAGCAGUUGUUUUUCUUUUGUGUUUCUAAUUUCACAGUUCUUUCUCUGGGUGUGGAGAGCAUUCUUUAUCAUAUGUCCCUUGGAAUUGUCCUGGAUCAUUGUAUUGCUGCUAGUAGAGAAGUCCAUUACAUUAGAUUGUACCACAGUGUAUCAGACUCUAUUUAUAAUGUUCUGGUUCUGCUCCUUUUACUCUGCAUCAAUUCCUGGAGGUCUUUCCAGUUCACAUGGAAUUCCUCCACUUUAUUAUUCCCUUCAGCACAAUAAUAUUCCAUCACCAGCAUAUACCACAACUUGUUCAGCCAUUCCUCAAUUGAAGGGUAUCCCCUCAUUUUCCAAUUUUUGC